rnacentral:rRNA from 1 species
AGCAGCCGCGGUAAUUCCAGCUCCAAUAGCGUAUAUUAAAGUUGUUGCAGUUAAAAAGCUCGUAGUUGAAUUUCGGGAUUGGCGCAUCGGUCGUGCCUCACGGGGUAUGAACUGGUGCAGUCAAUUUCUCACCUUCUGGAGAACCGCGAUGUCCUUAAUUGGAUGCCGUGGGGAACCAGGACCUUUACUUUGAAAAAUUAGAGUGUUUAAAGCAGGCAUUUUUGCUUGAAUACAUUAGCAUGGAAUAAUAAAAUAGGACGGCAUGGUUCUAUUUUGUUGGUUUCUAGGACCACCGUAAUGAUUAAUAGGGAUAGUUGGGGGCAUUAGUAUUCAAUUGUCAGAGGUGAAAUUCUUGGAUUUAUUGAAGACUAACUACUGCGAAAGCAUUUGCCAAGGAUGUUUUCAUUAAUCAAGAACGAAAGUUAGGGGAUCGAAGACGAUCAGAUACCGUCGUAGUCUUAACCAUAAACUAUG